rnacentral:rRNA from 1 species
AUUGAACGCUGGCGGCAGGCCUAACACAUGCAAGUCGAGCGGCAGCGGGACCUUCGGGUUGCCGGCGAGCGGCGGACGGGUGAGUAAUGCCUAGGAAUCUGCCUGUUAGUGGGGGAUAACGCGGGGAAACUCGCGCUAAUACCGCAUACGUCCUACGGGAGAAAGCGGGGGCUCUUCGGACCUCGCGCUAACAGAUGAGCCUAGGUCGGAUUAGCUAGUUGGUGGGGUAAUGGCCCACCAAGGCGACGAUCCGUAACUGGUCUGAGAGGAUGAUCAGGCACACUGGAACUGAGGCACGGUCCAGACUCCUACGGGAGGCAGCAGUGGGGAAUAUUGGACAAUGGGCGAAAGCCUGAUUCAGCCAUGCCGCGUGUGUGAAGAAGGUCUUCGGAUUGUAAAGCACUUUAAGUCGGGAGGAAGGACUGUAGGCUAAUACCUUGCAGUUUUGACGUUACCGACAGAAUAAGCACCGGCUAACUUCGUGCCAGCAGCCGCCGUAAGAC